GAUGAACGCUGGCGGCGUGCCUAAUACAUGCAAGUCGAGCGAACGGACGAGAAGCUUGCUUUUCUGAUGUUAGCGGCGGACGGGUGAGUAACACGUGGAUAACCUACCUAUAAGACUGGGAUAACUUCGGGAAACCGGAGCUAAUACCGGAUAAUAUUUUGAACCGCAUGGUUCAAAAGUGAAAGACGGUCUUGCUGCCACUUAUAGAUGGAUCCGCGCUGCAUUAGCUGGUUGGUAAGGUAACGGCUUACCAAGGCAACGAUGCAUAGCCGACCUGAGAGGGUGAUCGGCCACACUGGAACUGAGACACGGUCCAGACUCCUACGGGAGGCAGCAGUAGGGAAUCUUCCGCAAUGGGCGAAAGCCUGACGGAGCAACGCCGCGUGAGUGAUGAAGGUCUUCGGAUCGUAAAACUCUGUUAUUAGGGAAGAACAUAUGUGUAAGUAACUGUGCACAUCUUGACGGUACCUAAUCAGAAAGCCACGGCUAACUACGUG
rnacentral:rRNA from 1 species